rnacentral:lncRNA from 1 species
AGUAAAUGUUGUUUAUUUGAAUUGUGAAUUAUCGGUUAUGGGUGAAAGGAAAUAUUGGCCUAAUUGCCUAUUAAAACGGUUAAAAAAGUAUGGAAGAAAGAGUUAUUCAUGAAAAUAUGAAUACACAUAAGUAACGUGUACUUUUACUAAGAUGUUUAAAAUGAUUUGCUAAUUAUGAAACAUGCUACAGUGAAGAAAUUAUGGUUGCUAGACUGAAAGUUGAGUAAUGUUAAAUUAUU